GAGCGACCUUUGGGAGCUUGCUCCCAAUGGUGAGCGGCGGACGGGUGAGUACACGUGGGCAACCUGCCUGUAAGACUGGGAUACUUCGGGAAACCGGAGCUAAUGACCGGAUAAUUCAUUUCCUCUCAUGAGGAAAUGCUGAAAGUCGGUUUCGGCUGACACUUACAGAUGGGCCCGCGGCGCAUUAGCUAGUUGGUGAGGUAACGGCUCACCAAUGCGACGAUGCGUAGCCGACCUGAGAGGGUGAUCGGCCACUCUGGGACUGAGACACGGCCCAUACUCCUACGGGAGGCAGCAGUAUGGAAUCUUCCACAAUGGACGAAAGUCUGAUGGAGCAACGCCGCGUGAGCGAUGAAGGCCUUCGGGUCGUAAAGCUCUGUUGUUAGGGAAGAACAAGUACCGGAGUAACUGCCGGUACCUUGACGGUACCUAACCAGAAAGCCACGGCUAACUACGUGCCAGCAGCCGCGGUAAU
rnacentral:rRNA from 1 species